CUUCGUGCUGUUGUUGCAGUUGAUAUUUAAAGAUUCUCUUUUUUUUCUGACUUCAAGUGUGACCUUCCCAUUAUAAGGAAAUGGUGGACACUACUUCUUUUGGAGAACUUUGGAGUUAUUUCUGAAAGUGUUGUACUGCACCCAGAGUCGCUGAGCUCAGUGUGAGCUGCGUGGCAAAACUAGGCUCAACGGCGAAACUAUCUGCUCACUGCCACGUCUGGUACAUGUCACCUUGCGACUCACACUUGCAGUGGGAACAUUGUAAUCUGUUAAUAGGAGUAACAAAACGAAAACGCGACGCUCACACCAUGGCCACACCCCGCUCACGGAGGAUGUGUGAAUCCUGCAAGCGAUUGCUGUCCUGAAACUGCUGUGACAUCUGUGACAGAGCUCUGCAGAUGGAUAUUAUUGGCUCCAGAUAGAUAUAUCUCACUCUUUUUGGUGCUUUCGCUUCAGGUUUGUUCAUGAGCUGUGAGAUGAAGAUACAUUUGUGCCUUAAAGAUUUGCAUGUGAAGAGUAAGAUUUUUAAAAGUGUAAACAAAAUUCAUGUGUUGUGAAUCUGAAACUUCAUAUUAACACAAAAUAAACGUGAUCUGUAUCA